AUUGAACGCUGGCGGCAGGCCUAACACAUGCAAGUCGAGCGGAUGAAGGGAGCUUGCUCCUGGAUUCAGCGGCGGACGGGUGAGUAAUGCCUAGGAAUCUGCCUGGUAGUGGGGGAUAACGUCCGGAAACGGGCGCUAAUACCGCAUACGUCCUGAGGGAGAAAGUGGGGGAUCUUCGGACCUCACGCUAUCAGAUGAGCCUAGGUCGGAUUAGCUAGUUGGUGGGGUAAAGGCCUACCAAGGCGACGAUCCGUAACUGGUCUGAGAGGAUGAUCAGUCACACUGGAACUUGGACACGGUCCCGACUCCUACGGGAGGCAGCAGUUGGGAAUAUUGGACAAUGGGCGAAAGCCUGAUCCAGCCAUGCCGCGUGUGUGAAGAAGGUCUUCGGAUUGUAAAGCACUUUAAGUUGGGAGGAAGGGCAGUAAGUUAAUACCUUGCUGUUUUGACGUUACCAACAGAAUAAGCACCGGCUAACUUCGUG
rnacentral:rRNA from 1 species